UCUCUCUCUCUCUCUCUCUCUUUGAUCUUCGUCUAAAAUUCACAACUCUCUCUCUCUCUAGAACUCGCAUUCUUGCUGUGAUCCGAAUCCAUGGAAGAUCAAACGGCGGAAAUGUUCCCCCGGAACUGCAAAGACCUCAUUCCAGAUCUCGACUCCAAGCCCUCGUCGACCUCGUCGACCUUUUAAUUUUUUUGAAUUACAAUAAAUGUUGAAUUUGAGGUUCAGAUUCGAUUAUUACUGCUUCUUAUAAUUUGAAUUUUAUUUCCGGUCGAAGAAAAUGUUGAAGUGGGAAAUUUUCUGAUUCGAUUUCAUCCCUCUUUUACUUGAGUUAAAGCCCUAGAGACGAUUACAUCUGCAAUUAUUGGCUUUUUUAAUCUCUAAUUUUGUAAUAAAAAUUGGGAACUCUUUCAAUUGA
rnacentral:sRNA from 1 species